UAGGACGGCCAGAGCGAUAGGGCUCACCUGGUAACAUCCCGAACCCAGAAGUUAAGCCUGUCCGCGUUCCUUGUGGUACUAUGAUGCUCGCGCUCAUGGGAACCUCGGUUCGCUGUCCACC
rnacentral:rRNA from 1 species